rnacentral:sRNA from 1 species
GGGUGAAUGUGAUGCAAACCUUCAAACACAAAAAAAAGAAGUUGAUGCCCUUAAAGCUGAAAAAGCUGAAUUUGAUAAAAAAUUGGAAGCUGAAAAAACUAAACCCCAAGUGUGUGAUUUGAAAUCCUGUUCUGAGCCUCUAAAGCAGAUACUAGAUAUAUCCUCUAAACUUACUGGCACAGAACAACUUAGUAAAGCCCUGACUGAGGCUAAAUUAAAUGCUGAGGAAUUAUUGCAAAAUGUUCCUAAAUACCAAGCACCACAACAACAAGCUGGUAACUGAGAGCUCCAGGUAACUUGGAACAUUAUUUGGAUAAGAUGACUGUAAAAAUGGAACUUUUGUUAUAACUUAUUCAUUUUUAAAUGUAUGAAUGUGCUAAAUUAAUGGUGCAAGCAAAUACUAUCAUCCCCUAUGAACUACCAGCCUACUAUUGAUAGAAGAAUCUCAAUACAUUACGGUACACAUGUAUUAUCAUUUUGUUUCUUAUGACAAAAUUCAGAGAUGCAGCAACAAAUGUUUUGUGUUACUCUUCUGAUAACAUUGCUGUAUUUUUCUUCUCUUAACUGAACAAACAUUUAUCUUAAUAGCAACAUCUGGUCAGAAGUAUUAUAUUGAUUUGUCCCAUCUUGCUUUGUCCUCACCAUUUAAAAAAAAAUUCUUAGUAAGCCAACUUAUUUUUUUCUUAAUAGCCUUUGGUUUUGGAGGGCAUAAAACAAAUUCAAUGCAGAGUCUGUCCUCUUUCUGAGUCUGUCCUCUUACUGGAGGGCUAUAUUGAUUUUUAAAAAAUGUUCUGGGUGAUAUUGCGUAGAGUAAUGUAUGGUGUCUACAUUAAAUUAUACACUUUUGAUUAACCUUUCAUGUGUUGAUGGUAAUGUUGAACCUCAGAGUAGGGCUUGUACCUUUAAUUUACAACACUGGUUUUGUUUUUUUAAAGAGGGUAAUUUUUUGUUUUGUGUUGCCAAAAGAAAGUAUGGUAAAGUAGUUUUCUAAUGGUAUAAAAAGGUUGUUCAGAUAAAUAUUCUUGGGUUUCUUAAUUUAGUUAGAAUAAAAAUAGUUAAUCCUUUAAUAAUACCAGAACCUGUGUAUCCUCUUUGUUGAAUGUUAAUCUAAAAACUGUUGAUAUUUACUCAACUUGUUCAGAUUGAUCAAUUGCUGCAUAAUAUUCUAUUUUAAGAACAAUUUAAAUAUGUGAUCCAUUACCUCCAAAUGAGUCUUAUUGCCUAUUGCACCUUGACAUAUUUUAGGAUUUUAAAAAAAUAUCAGAGAGCUGUCAUAGAAAAUGACAUGCAUAAGCUCAUUUCUCGAACAAAGUUAAUGAAUUUACAAGUAAUUUUUUUAAAAAAGCACUCUUGACUAUUUACAAAGUAUUUAUUUUUAGAACCAAUAAUAAAAUUGUCAUUUAUACACUUCAGUGCCUAAAGGGUUUGGGAAAUAAGAAUUGCUGACAGCUGGUAUAUACUCAAAUCACAAUAUCUGUUGAAAAAGGCAAGAUUUGACAGCAUUUCAUAUUGCAUUCUUCUCAUCUCUGAUGCUAGGAUUUACUCUUAUAAUUUAAGAACCUAUAACUACUAUAGGAAUGUGGUGGCUACCACACGUAGUGGUCACUUGUUCAAAUCCUUGUGACAUGGGAUUUCAAAUUUAAUGGUAACAUGAAACCUUGUUAACCAUUGGCAAAAAAAAAAAAAACAUGCAACAUUUUCUUUCUCAGCAACCAUGAAGUCUCCAAUGUUGAUUGAUUGUUUUUUUUUUAUUCUUUUAAAAUACGACUCAUUUAGUGGUGAUAGGUCUCAUAUGAACAAUCAUUAAGUGACCAUAUUAUACUAUACUUUUAUAUGUAUAGUUCUUUAAUAAAAGUAAUUCUAACAUUUGGGUGAAACAGCUUUAUUUAAUUCUCAUAGACAUAGCCCACUGUGAUUUUUGCAGUCAUUAUUUGCAUCAGUUUCAUUAGAGUAAAAAAAAAAAUGUCUCAGUCCAGUUGUUACUACUAUAAAGUAAAUAAAAACUGUCUCUUAGGAGAAAAUAUAGUAUUUGUAUAUCUAUAUAAUCAUGAUUUUUAAUUUUUCUAUCCAGUUUUUGUUGCAUGUAUAAAAGUCUCUAAACUCUUUUAGUGCAAAUUAUUUUGAUGUAGUUUUCCAAGAUGAAUGAACACACAUUUUCAAGGGAAUAUGGGGGGGGGGGGGAGAAUUA